UUUGCCCAAAUUGUUUGCCCAAACCAAAGUUGAAGCUGAAAUGGAAGAGGAACAAUCUGCUGUUUGACCAGACUGUUUGCCCAAACAGACUGGGCAAACAGAUCAGCAGGGCAGAAGCAGAGCAUAAAAAUCAGACUGUUUGCCCAAACAGACUGGGCAAACAGGCCAGCAGUGCGCAGGCAACAGGGAAAACAGACUGUUUGCCCGAGCUGUUUGCCCAAACAACCCGAGCAAACAGCACCAGCAACCAGUAGACAGUAAAUUGCGGGAAAAUCAAAAUUCAAAUGCUCAAGAAGUCCCUCCCAAACACGUGUGGACAGCUCAGCAAACCCUAAAGACACCUCAGCACUCAAUCUCACAUAUUUAGGAAGGCAAAUUUCAUCAAAAUACAAUUACCUUCCAAGAAUUCAACUCCAAUUGGGAAAAGGAGUCCCAUCUCAACAAGAAAACCUAGGGCAGCCUCUUCAGCUAUAAAAGGGCAUGCAAACCAGCAUAUCAAGUAUCUUUGGAUCAUCAUACAUCCUCGGCAGAAGCUGCACCAGCAGCCGCACCACACCAGCAAGCCAAUUGGCCCUUUUUCUCCUUCUUUUUGCUUUCUUUCUUUUCUUUUAUGUUAGUUUCAGCCAUGAGUGGCUGAAACCCUUUUUCUAGUUGAAGAAUAAGGUGAAACUUUGGUUGUUUAUGGAUUGGGAGAUCUGAACCCUCAUGUUAUUCUUUUAUUAAUCAGUAUUUAUGCAAUUUUGUGCUUAAUUUAUUGUUGCUUUGUUGUUUUGAUCAAAUUGGCCACUUGAUUCUUGAUUGCAAAGUAAUUCUUUGUUAGUUUGGAUAGUUUGAAGUCCGUAAUUGCUUGAAUUAUUCAAACACAAGUAACCCUUGGUGUAAAAACCUAGGAAAUUGCAUAAUCUAGCAAUAUCACCAUACGUUUGGGUAGCUAGAAUUAGGUCUCUCUUUUUCUUAAUGCAAUUAAUAAUUGUUAGAUGCCAAAGGCCCAAGGACGUUCCUUGGCAACUUGUUAAUUAGUGAUUAAUUAGAGGACGUUCCCUAAAUAAUCUAUGCUUAAGGAGGGAUAUGGUUGGUGAGAAGCGUCUUCCACCUCCAUAACUAAUUUAUUGAGUUAAAUAAGAGAAUAUAAGUUUCAAUGAUCAAUCCCAACAACUAAAGUGGAUCCAACUCUUCAACUAGGCCUUUCUCAUUAUUGAAUUUCUCUACUUUAAUUAUUUUCUUUUCUCUAUUGCUUUCAAUAUUAGUUUAGUUUAUCAAACCUCAAAACCCCCAUUUUACUUUUAUUGUUUGUUUCUUUA
rnacentral:lncRNA from 1 species